AUUGAUGCACGAUAUUUUUUG
rnacentral:piRNA from 1 species